rnacentral:rRNA from 1 species
GGCUUAGUGGUGGGGUGACUGCGUACCUUUUGUAUAAUGGGUCAGCGACUUAUAUUCUGUAGCAAGGUUAACCGUAUAGGGGAGCCGGAGGGAAACCGAGUCUUAAUUGGGCGUUAAGUUGCAGGGUAUAGACCCGAAACCCGGUGAUCUAGCCAUGGGCAGGUUGAAGGUUGGGUAACACUAACUGGAGGACCGAACCGACUAAUGUUGAAAAAUUAGCGGAUGACCUGUGGCUGGGGGUGAAAGGCCAAUCAAACCGGGAGAUAGCUGGUUCUCCCCGAAAGCUAUUUAGGUAGCGCCUCGUGAAUUCAUCUCCGGGGGUAGAGCACUGUUUCGGCUAGGGGGCCAUCCCGGCUUACCAACCCGAUGCAAACUGCGAAUACCGGAGAAUGUUAUCACGGGAGACACACGGCGGGUGCUAACGUCCGUCGUGAAGAGGGAAACAACCCAGACCGCCAGCUAAGGUCCCAAAGUCAUGGUUAAGUGGGAAACGAUGUGGGAAGGCCCAGACAGCCAGGAUGUUGGCUUAGAAGCAGCCAUCAUUUAAAGAAAGCGUAAUAGCUCACUGGUCGAGUCGGCCUGCGCGGAAGAUGUAACGGGGCUAAACCAUGCACCGAAGCUGCGGCAGCGAACGUAUCACUUAAAGCGAUUCAGCGGGUUACGAUUGACGGAGCGAAGCGACGUCAAAGCGUAUACAAAGUCGAGUCGGUUUAAGGAUACGUUCGUUGGGUAGGGGAGCGUUCUGUAAGCCUGCGAAGGUGGCCUGUGAGGGUUGCUGGAGGUAUCAGAAGUGCGAAUGCUGACAUAAGUAACGAUAAAGCGGGUGAAAAGCCCGCUCGCCGGAAGACCAAGGGUUCCUGUCCAACGUUAAUCGGGGCAGGGUGAGUCGACCCCUAAGGCGAGGCCGAAAGGCGUAGUCGAUGGGAAACGGGUUAAUAUUCCCGUACUUGGUGUUACUGCGAAGGGGGGACGGAGAAGGCUAUGUUGGCCGGGCGACGGUUGUCCCGGUUUAAGCGUGUAGGCUGGUUUUCCAGGCAAAUCCGGAAAAUCAAGGCUGAGGCGUGACGACGAGGCACUACGGUGCUGAAGCAACAAAUGCCCUGCUUCCAGGAAAAGCCUCUAAGCAUCAGGUAACACGAAAUCGUACCCCAAACCGACACAGGUGGUCAGGUAGAGAAUACCAAGGCGCUUGAGAGAACUCGGGUGAAGGAACUAGGCAAAAUGGUGCCGUAACUUCGGGAGAAGGCACGCUGACACGUAGGUGAAGUGAUUUACUCAUGGAGCUGAAGUCAGUCGAAGAUACCAGCUGGCUGCAACUGUUUAUUAAAAACACAGCACUGUGCAAACACGAAAGUGGACGUAUACGGUGUGACGCCUGCCCGGUGCCGGAAGGUUAAUUGAUGGGGUCAGCGCAAGCGAAGCUCCUGAUCGAAGCCCCGGUAAACGGCGGCCGUAACUAUAACGGUCCUAAGGUAGCGAAAUUCCUUGUCGGGUAAGUUCCGACCUGCACGAAUGGCGUAAUGAUGGCCAGGCUGUCUCCACCCGAGACUCAGUGAAAUUGAACUCGCUGUGAAGAUGCAGUGUACCCGCGGCAAGACGGAAAGACCCCGUGAACCUUUACUAUAGCUUGACACUGAACAUUGAGCCUUGAUGUGUAG